GGACUACCGGGGUAUCUAAUCCUGUUUGCUACCCACGCUUUCGUGCCUCAGCGUCAGUUACCGUCCAGUAAGCCGUCUACACCGCAGGUGUUCCUCCUGAUAUCUACGCAUUUCACCGCUACACCAGGAAUUCCGCUUACCUCUCCGGCACUCCAGCAUCUCAGUAUUCGCCGCACCCUCCCGGUUAAGCCGGGAGAUUUCACAACAAACUUAAGACACCGCCUACGCACGCUUUACGCCCAGUAACUCCGAACAACGCUCGCUGCCUACGUAUUACCGCGGCUGCUGGCAC
rnacentral:rRNA from 1 species